rnacentral:rRNA from 1 species
UGGGUAACCUGCCUCAAAGAGGGGAAUAGCCUCCCGAAAGGGAGAUUAAUACCGCAUAAUAUGUUUAAGUCGCAUGACUUUAACAUCAAAGGAUUUUCUUUUAGAAAUUCCACUUUGAGAUGGACCCGCGGCGCAUUAGCUAGUUGGUGAGGUAACGGCUCACCUAGGCAACGAUGCGUAGCCGACCUGAGAGGGUNAUCGGCCACAUUGGAACUGAGACACGGUCCAGCUCCGUAGGAG